UACGGGGGGGGCAAGCGUUGUUCGGAAUUACUGGGCGUAAAGGGUGCGUAGGCGGCUUUCUAAGUUGGAUGUGAAAACUAUGGGCUCAACCCAUAGCCUGCAUCCAAAACUGGAGAGCUUGGGUUCUGGAGGGGAAAGCGGAAUUCCUAGUGUAGCGGUGAAAUGCGUAGAUAUCAGGAGGAACACCGGUGGCGAAGGCGGCUUUCUGGACAGACACCGACGCUGAGGCACGAAAGUUAGGGGAGCAAACAGG
rnacentral:rRNA from 1 species